rnacentral:rRNA from 1 species
UGGGGGAUAUUGCACAAUGGGCGAAAGCCUGAUGCAGCGACGCCGCGUGGGGGAUGAAGGCCUUCGGGUUGUAAACUUCUUUUGCUCUGAACAAGGCAUGCCUUUGGGGUGUGUUGAGUGUAUGGGUUGAUUAGCGCCGGCUAACUACGUGCCAGCAGCCGCGGUAAUACGUAGGGCGCGAGCGUUGUCCGGAAUUAUUGGGCGUAAAGGGCUUGUAGGUGGCUGGUUGCGUCUGUCGUGAAAGCUCAUGGCUUAACUGUCGGUUUGCGGUGGGUACGGGCUGGCUUGAGUGCAGUAGGGGAGGCUGGAAUUCCUGGUGUAGCGGUGGAAUGCGCAGAUAUCAGGAGGAAUAACGGUGGCGAAGGCGGGUCUCUGGGCUGUUACUGACGCUGAGGAGCGAAAGCGUGGGGAGCGAACAGG